AUUGAACGCUGGCGGAAUGCUUUACACAUGCAAGUCGAGCGGCAGCGCGGGGCAACCUGGCGGCGAGCGGCGAACGGGUGAGUAAUGCAUCGGAACGUACCCAGUCGUGGGGGAUAACUGUCCGAAAGGACAGCUAAUACCGCAUACGUCCUGAGGGAGAAAGCGGGGGAUCGCAAGACCUCGCGCGAUUGGAGCGGCCGAUGCCGGAUUAGCUAGUUGGUAGGGUAAAGGCCUACCAAGGCGACGAUCCGUAGCUGGUCUGAGAGGAUGAUCAGCCACACUGGCACUGAGAUACGGGCCAGACUCCUACGGGAGGCAGCAGUGAGGAAUAUUGCGCAAUGGGCGAAAGCCUGACGCAGCGACGCCGCGUGGGGGAUGAAGGUUUUCGGAUUGUAAACCCCUUUCAUGAGGAAAGAUAAAGUGGGUAACCACUUAGACGGUACCUCAAGAAGAAGCCACGGCUAACUUCGUGCCAGCAGCCGCGGUAAAGU
rnacentral:rRNA from 1 species